GUGGUUGAUGAUGCAAAUUUCUUUCCCCGUCUUAUCGACUGUGGUGAGAAAAAAAGAAAACUAAGCCAAUUUUGUCUGAAACCAC
ensembl:snoRNA small nucleolar SNORD12/SNORD106